ensembl:lncRNA
AAAACGUGAGACGUACGUUGGGAGAGCAGAGCAGAAGGGUGAACGGAGAGGUGCUCUGGAAGCUGAACCAGGUUUUAAGAAACCAAGUUUCUAUUGACUGGAUUUACUCGAUACAUCUUAUGUUUUGACUUGUUAGCUGUGUGUAGUUAAUGACUGCAGAGGCACAGAUGUUGUUUUUUUUGUCUGAGUGAGAAAAAACGGAGAUUCUGUGUGAGCGGGUUCAAGCUAACCGCUAAAGCUAACCGCUAAAGCUAACGGCUAAGCUACGGUUGGCGAGCCUUGGGCUGAGUGGACUUUGAACUGGACAGACGGAGGUGCUUCUGGAUGAGGAGUUAACUGGAUGAGGAUUUAUCUGCCGCUCCUCUGACCGUUUCUUUUCCUGAGACAUUGGAUUAUUUGGCUGCUGACUUUUCAGACACCGAGCUGUGAACGCCACGAGGUGGAUUCUGCUAACGGCUAACUGUGAGUUUGCUGACCGGAGAUCAACGCCGCUGCGGGGAUUUCGUGGGCUGCUUCCUGUGAUCAUCGUAGGUUUUCUACUCUGCACCUGGACUACGGCGAACAGCUGGAGAUCGACACACAGAUACGUCUCCUGCAGUUGAUGUCUUAGCUGAGCAUUCCCCAGAUGGCAUUUCAACAAAGUGAAUCAGCAUCAAAACUGCACAGCAGAAAUGAGGAGGCUCAACCAAUGAGAGACGAGCUCUGUCUUUCGGGACUGGCAGGGCCCGACUGAUGUGGCCAAAAUCC